rnacentral:rRNA from 1 species
UACGGAAGAUCCAAGCGUUAUCCGGAAUUACUGGGCGUAAAGAGUUGCGUAGGUGGCAGAGUAAGCAAGCAGUGAAAUGAUGCGGCUCAACCGCAUGUCCAUUGUUUGAACUGCUCAGCUAGAGCACGAGAGAGGUAACUGGAAUUCCUAGUGUAGGAGUGAAAUCCGUAGAUAUUAGGAGGAACACCGAUGGCGUAGGCAGGUUACUGGCUCGUUGCUGACACUAAGGCACGAAAGCGUGGGGAGCGAACGGG